rnacentral:rRNA from 1 species
AUGAUGCAACCAGAAGGUUUUGUCAAUCCUAAAGGUGCUAACAAAUUGUGCAAGCUCCAGCGAUCCAUCUAUGGACUGGUGCAAGCAUCUCGAAGUUGGAAUAUAUGCUUUGAUGAGUUGAUCAAAGCAUAUGUUUUUAUACAGACUUUUGAAGAAGCCUGUAUUUACAAGAAAGUGAGUGGGAGCUCUGUAGCAUUUCUAAUAUUGUAUGUGGAUGACAUAUUGUUAAUUGGAAAUGAUAUGAAAAUUCUGGAUAGCAUGAAAGGAUACUUGAAUAAGAGUUUUUCAAAGCAAGACCUUGGUGAAGCUGCUUACACAUUGAGCAUCAAGAUCUAUAUAGAUAGAUCAAGACGCUUAAUAAGAUUUUUCAAUGAGUACAUUGAUAAAUUUUUGAAAUAA